CAAAGAAGAGUAGCCCCUGCUUGCUGCAACUAGAGAAAACCUGUGCGCAGCAACAAAGACCCAACGUAGCCAAAAAGAAAAAAAAAAAGAAUGCCUUUGGUGGGCUUAUUAGUAGAUGACACAGCUGAGGAAAGAAUCUCUGAGCUAGAAAAUAUAUCAAUAGAAUCCUUGAAAAGCAAAGAGAGCAAAGAUUGAAGAAAGAAACCCAAACAAACCAAUAGCCAAGGUCUGUGGGACAACUGCAAAAGGUAUAACAUACAGUUGACUCUGAACAACAUGGGUUUGAACUAUGCUGGUUCACUUAUACACAGAUUUCUUUCAAUAGUAAAUACUAUAGUACUAUGUGAUCCAAGUUUGGUUGAAUCUGUAGAUGUGGAACUGCAGAUACAGAGGAACCAUGGAUAUGGAGGAAUUGUGUGUAUGGAGGGCCAACUAUAAUUAUAUAUGGAUUUUCGACUGUGUGGAGGGUUGGUGCCCCUAACCUGUGUUCAAGAUUCAACUGUUAACACACAAUGAGAAUACCAGGAGAGAGAAAGUAACAGAAGAAGUAUUGGAAACAAUAAUGACUGAGAAUUUCUUCAAAUUAAUGCCAGACACCAAACCACAGAUCAAGGGAGCUUAGAGAACUCCAAGCAGGAUAAAAAAAACAAACAAAAAAAACCCCAAAAAACUGUAUUGAGGCAUAUAAUAUUCAAUCUACAGAAAGUCAAAGAUAAGGAAAAAAUCCUGAAAGAAGCUAGAGGGAAGAAAACACCUUACCUAUAGAGUAACAAAGAUAAGAAUUACAUCUGACUUCUCCUCAGAAACUGUGCAAGCAAGAAGACUGUGGAGUGUUAAAAAAAAAACCCAGCAACCUAGAAUUCUGUGAAAUUAUCUUUCAAAAGUGAAGGAAACACAAAUAUUUUCCUGGACAAGUGAAAGUUGGAAUUUGUCAUCAGUAGAACUUCCUUGCAAGAAAUGUUAAAAGAAGUUCUUCAGAGAGAAGGAAAAUAAUAUAUGUCAGAAACUUGGAUCUGUAUGAAGUAAUGAAGAACAUCAAAGAAGGAAUAAGUGAAGGAACUGUUGCAUGCAGUUCUGGAAGCUGAGCAGUCCCACAGUCUGCCUCUGCAAGCUGGAGAACGAGGAAAGACAGCAGUAUAAUGCAGUCCAAGUCUGAAGGCCUGAGAACUAGGAGCUCUGAUGGUCGAGGGCAGGAAAAGAUGGACAUCCCAGCUCAAGAAGAGAGAGAGAAUUCUGCCAUCUUUUCCUCUUUUGUUCCAUAUGGCCCCAAACAGAUUGGAUGAUGUCUGCCCAUAUUGAAGUCUUCUCAAACCCUUUAUGGAACAAAGCUGGAUAUGAUUAAAUAAAGUCUGCAUCUAGUUUUUGAUAUGUGAAAAAGAUCAUCUUCAAAAUUAAGGAUUUCCAUGGAAAAGAAUAUUAGAUCCUCUGUCAACUAUCAGACUUCUCCUUCUGCACAGCCCUCUCUUGGUGCUUUUGCUUUUCAAAGUUUUCAGUAGCCGGGCACUUACUCCACUACGGCGGGAUGUCAUAGCCACCACUGGAGACCACUGGUUGGUUCUGGGGUUGUAUCUCUCAGCACUGCUAAGCUCUGUAGUGUCAUCUCUGCCUCCUACGGCAUAGAUCAUAUCCUGAUACACUGCGCAGCCUAGGUGUUUCCUCCGGGUCCCCAUAGGGGCUAUGGUGUGCCAUCUGUUUUCCUGAGGAUUAUAACGCUCCACUGCAGGGAAAAGAAAAACCAGGGACUCUCCUAAGAAAAAAUGUAUUGCUUUGGGGAAACCAGACUGACUUUGGAAGGAACUAACCUGUGUUGAGUGGAGAUGUCCCAUCAGAGCCACCUACAGCGUAUAAGAACCCUCCUAACACAGCCACAGCCACGCCUAGUCUCCUAGUACUCAUAGAAGCCACCCGAGUCCACUUGUUCUCCUUCGGAUCAUACCUGCGAUCUUGAUAUGCUGCAGGGUUUCAUAGAUAUGUUUGGUAAGUAUCAAGAACACAGCUGAAUGAAAAAGGGUUGGAUGAGAACAAGAAGCUAGAAGUUAUUAAAAAAUAAAUUAUUGUAGGUUUCUAAUAUGCCAGGCAUUGUCACAGAUGUGGGAAAAGACAUUUCAAUAAACAGUUACAGCCAAUGUGAUAUGUACAAGUAUGUUCAAAAUACUUGUGAAAGAUCAGAGGACUGAGUAACUAACCUGUCUCUAUGGUGCCAGAGACGGCUUUAUAUAAGAAGUAACAUUUGAAUCUUGAAAAGAUAUUCCAGGGAAGAACGAACAGCAUGCAUAUAUAUAGGCAAAGAGGCACGAAAGAGGACAGCAUGUCUAAGGAACUGCAAACAAUUUGGUGGGUCUGCACUAGCGUGUUUAGGGAAUAGUGGUGUGCCAAGGGAGACAGACUGGAGAAACAGGUGGAGGUCAGAUCAUAAAGGACUUGUAUGUCACAGUAAGUGGUCUAGGCUGCCAGCUAGUGCCACAGACACAAAACUAAAGCAACAGGUUACAUCUGUUUCUAAUUAACAUCUCAAACAAAACAAUAUGAAUAGGAGAGAAAAAAAUUUCAAAUUGA